CUCCUGCGCCUGCUGCGGACAGAUCAGGUGAAUGUGCGUGUCGAUGGCUCCCGCGGUGACAAUCUUGUUCUCGCCCGCGAUCACGUCGGUGCAGCUGCCGACGACCAUGUUGGGCGCGACGCCGUCCAUGACGUCGGGGUUGCCAGCCUUGCCGAUGCCGACGAUCAUGCCGGCCUUGACGCCGAUGUCGGCCUUGUAGAUGCCCGAGUGGUCGACGAUGAGGGCGUUGGUGAUGACGAGGUCGAGCGCGUCGGCGUCCGGCCGCCCCGUCGCCUGGCCCAUGCCCUCGCGUAG
rnacentral:sRNA from 1 species